CUCAGCAUUUCUGACUCUUUGGCAUGAAUAUGCUGAUUUGGUCACAGCGGAUGUUCCUAUUGCUGCUCUUUCAACUAUUCAGACUAUUCACGCGACUACCCGGCGUGAUCAGUUUCUUAUGAAACUACGUCCGGAAUAUGAAUCUGUCCGCUCCUCUUUACUGAAUAGAUCUCCUGUUCCCUCUCUUGAUAUUUGUUUUGGUGAGUUACUUCGCGAAGAGCAACGCCUUAGUACUCAAGCUAUUUUGGAGCAAUCUCAUGGCAGUUCCGGGACGACAACUGUAGCUUAUGCUGCCCAAGGCCGCGGACCACCUAUGCAUUCUAAAAACUUGCAGUGUUUUUGCUGCAAGGAAUAUGGGCAUAUUGCUGCCACUUGCCCUAAGAAGUUUUGUUCUUAUUGUAAGAAGAAGGGUCACAUUAUCAAAGAAUGUCGUAUUCGCCUCCAGAAUCGUCAGGCCCACGCAUUUCAGACUUCGGUUAUUAUCCCUCCUGUAGCAACUUCUGCAACACACGACUCUCCUUCAGCUGCGUGCUCUAUUCCUGCACCUCCUGCACCCCAGAAAUGGUGCAACAGAUGUUAAUUUCAGCAUUAUCAGCAAUGGGGUUUCAAGGACCAGGUAACGGGGAAGCCGAUCGCAAAGGGACCUAAAGUGGGGCGCUUGUUUCCACUAUUUUUACCUGUUCCAGAUUUUUCUCCACUUUCUUCUAUUAAGUCUUUUGCUUGUAAUAAUGUUUCAGAUCUUAGUAUGGUGUGGCAUCGUCGUUUAGGCCAUCCCAAUACUCAAAUCUUAUCUCAUGUAUUGAACUCUGAUUUACCUGGUAAUAAGGAUCGUUAUUCUUUA